GUUAUGGUGAUGAGAGCUGGGGGAAACCAGGCUGGGUGCACACUGUGAAUGAAGGUUUAAUCUAUGUCAUCCUUUGUCACAGGUCAUCCUGUUGCCUAGGAUGAAGUGUCACAUAGUUUGAAUCCACAUUGCUUGCUGACAUCAUAGGUGAAUGAACUUUUCCAAGAUUCUGGAAGCCUAUUGUAAUUUGUGUUCUCUACAUUUUCCUGAGGUCCCAGGGAUGCCGUGAUUACUAAGCUCUAUGGUAGGAGUUGGGGCAAGAGGAAACAACUUUAGAAGACGCCUGUGUGCCCCUGCCUGCUUGCAUCUGGCUUCUUCAUCUGCCCGGGUGGACCACUCUUACUGUCGCAACAAAAACAUCUGCUUCACACACAGAGCGGCAUCACACGAAGAGGAAAGAGCCUGUAUCCCAAAGCCCAGCUUUCCGCACCAUCCACAAAUGAAGACAGCAUCUGCUGAGCCCACACUGAACCUGUCACAGUCAACAACUGGGAAACUGGGGCCUCUACUAAACCAGGGGACAAGCAGCCGAAGCACUUGAACAGCUUGAUACUUGUUUUUUGGUACAUUUGUUUAUUUAAAAAAGCAUAGGAAAUGAAUAAAAUGCCACUAAAAAGUA